rnacentral:lncRNA from 1 species
GGUGCCCCUGUGCGAAGCUGGCGGUCAGCCGUGGGAUCAGUACUCCCGGAAGACACGACUCCCGGAAGACACGGCUGCCGGAGCUGCCUGGAUCCCAUCAGGGAAGCUUCCAGGAGUGCUGUGGCCAACAGUAGUAGUGGCUCCAAUGACAGCAGCAGUGAACUUCAGCACAACUCACUGGCCAGUAUUCUGGAGGAUGUGACACUGAUGUCAGCCAGAUUUUCAGUGGAGACAAUGGCACAAGAUGCCAACAGAAGCUUCUCCCAGGUUCUCUUCAGAUAUUUGAGCAUAUUUCCAGACCUCUUCAGGGAGAGGGCGUUUGACUCUGCUGAUGGGAACUUUGGCAGUUCUGUUUCUGAAGGGUAAAAAGGCUUGUUCCGUGACGUGACCUGUGGGAGAGAUUAUGGAGGUUUUCAACUGUACAUGCCGAAGGAGCAAACACCGCUUAAGCUAGGCUGUGCUUCCUAAACAAGUAUUUAAUCUCCUCAUUAAAGAUAUAUGAAACUAAAAAUCAAUGAGCUCCGGUGGUUAGAGCUUUUUAGUGGAACUAAUGGGUACACCUUGUCUAACAUUAGAAACUUCACUUGUGGUUUACAGCUGUACACAAGGAAAAAACAUGAGUCUAGAAAUCAGGUCUCUAGCUAGAGUAAUAAUUGGGCUGUGAGUUCUGGAUAAGCAGGCCUCAUAAAUAUAUAACGUAUGGAAUAAUGUAUUGCCAAUUCACAUUCUCUCACAUUAGAUAGGUGCAGUGAACUCUUACUAUAAAGCUCAAGAUUAAAGUCGGCAAAAUUCUGCUUGGAUACAUGCCCUAUUGAGUCCCAUUAGAAAGACUCUUAACUGUGUAAAUUUAAACCUCUGACAUGCUGACAUCAUG